rnacentral:rRNA from 1 species
UCGAGGGGCAGCAUAAUGGAUAGCAAUAUCGUAUGGUGGCGACCGGCGCACGGGUGCGUAACGCGUAUGCAACCUACCUUUAACAGGGGGAUAACACUGAGAAAUUGGUACUAAUACCCCAUAAUAUCAUAGAAGGCAUCUUUUAUGGUUGAAAAAUUCCGAUGGUUAGAGAUGGGCAUGCGUUGUAUUAGCUAGUUGGUGAGGUAACGGCUCACCAAGGCGACGAUACAUAGGGGGACUGAGAGGUUAACCCCCCCACACUGGUACUGAGACACGGACCAGACUCCUACGGGAGGCAGCAGUGAGGAAUAUUGGUCAAUGGACGCAAGUCUGAACCAGCCAUGCCGCGUGCAGGAUGACGGCUCUAUGAGUUGUAAACUGCUUUUGUACUAGGGUAAACUCACCUACGUGUAGGUGACUGAAAGUAUAGUACGAAUAAGGAUCGGCUAACUCCGUG